UCUCUCUGCCUCUCCCCUGCUCACAUUCUCUCUCCCUCAAAAGUAAGCAUUUAAAAAAAAAAAAAAAAGUGAUCAUAAGCUAAUAGUGCAGUAAAAGUUGCAGUCAACCUGACAUGAGCUGUGAAUGUGCCAACGCCAGUUACUAUGGACUGUCUGUCCGGGAAUUAAAGUGAGAGACUCGGUUUUUUUUUACCUCCAACAUUCUCUAUUUGCGUAACACAGAGUUGGGCCCUUAGUAGGCCUUUAAUUUUGGUUUGGAUUCACGUUUGCUAGUUUGCUGAAUAUGAUCACAACAUUUGAAGGUCCAUGAGGGUUGGAAGGUAGGGAGAGACAGAAGUAAACUUUUUUUUUUCCCCUCAAAAAUCAUGUGUUAUGUAAUAAUUUUAGAGUGAUGAAGACAUAGAUAUUUUUAUAAUUUUAAAAUAUGUUAUCCUGCCAGAGUAUGAGAAGAUUGACAGAACCAGUUUGCUUUCUCUCUAUUUAUAGAACUUGGCCACAUCUAAUUCAGAGAAGCUAGAGAUUCAGGGACGCUAGACUUGGACGGCUGAGUAAUAUGGGAUGUGGUUCAAGGACCAUCGAGUAUGUCAGGCCGUUAACUGCAAACUACUUGUAACGCGUGAAAUGUGAUAUAUGGCUAACUUCCUGCUCCCGCGGCGGAGAGGUGGGAAUGAACAUCUUCGCUGUGGCUGACCGGAUUCCCUUACCUUAGGCCAGUUUCUUAACAAUGGCCAUCGAGAGAGCACGUGGAGUGCCCCUUGCUCUGCUCCGGCCUGCCGUGGAGAAGCAGCCUUAAAAGAAUCACUGUCUAAGGGUAACAUGAGAGCUCCAGGAGCUAUUCUGAGCGCCUGCUGAUGCAAAGCUAAAUUUAGCAAACAUGUGUCUAGCGUGGUCAGAGGUUCUGCUUCAUUGAACGUCCUGAUUGACGGAGACAGAGUUGCAGAGAAUUCUGUAACGAGUGCAAGUCGUCCUUCACCCCACCCCAGAUUUUAAAGCAGUCAGGCAAUUUAGGUAUGGCAUUCUGUCAUUAAAGACCACAUCUUACCGCAGGACUCUAGGCAGAGAAAGUGAAAAGUCUGGUCAAGUGUACCACCUUCCUGCAGGACCGGUUACAAAACACCCAGACGGUCAACUCUCCCAGAAUCGGUAGGCCUCGUAAAAGCAGCAGGCUGAGCGUGCAGAGCAAAGUUCACGUUUUGAUUUAGAUUCCACUCGGGGUUUAGGGUAGCGAUCCAUCUUUGCGUCUCUGGCAUUGAAGCUGUUGCAGAAAAGGUUGUGGAAAUGCUCAGUUUCUUAUCUUUGGCACCACCUACGUCAUAAACAUCACGAGUCUUGCUCUUAGUGUAGAUGUCUUUAUUCUGAGUUUGUUUGUAGCACUAAAGCCAAGUUCUUCUAGAAUAGGAAGAGUCUUGCUCUGUUCUGAGGUGUUUCUCUGAUGUACAUGCAGAGCGAGGAAUUAACACGAGGGAACGGCAACAAACGUGGGCCUUUUGUUGGAACACUCCUGAGCCCCGUUCCAGCUUUUAAUGAUUUGUGGUUCUACCUUGUUUCCUGUUGGAAAAGUAUGGAUUCAGAACCUGGACCCAGUGACCAUUACUGCAUCUUUGGAACACAGGUCUGGGAGGAAACAGAUAUUUUCCUCCAAAACCCUUUUAUAUCUGUGUCUAUCUGUUGAUGGGUUCAAACCCUCUCUCCCCACAAGCACAAAUCUGGGAGGCGGCGACAGGUCACAUAAAGCUUUUCGUCUUUGCCUCUCCCUUUUCUCUGAUCAACCAGGUGGCUUUAGUGCUACAAAAAUGUGGACUAAGGGAGGCCUGGGGUAGGAACUUUAUAGAAACAGUUCAGUCUGGGAGAGAGAACCUUCUCUUCAUCCGAAGCCCAAGGACACGGUCUGUGCCAAUCCAGCCGCUCUGGGGAACUCUCAGGAUGUCGCCAGUGGUGAAGUUAGAAGGCUUCAGAGUCAGAGUUGAGGAAGAGCAGCUGUCCCCUUUUCCUUUACCCAGGUGCUGACCGAGUCCUCAGAGCUGGAAGGGGUGAAAACCUUUAUGAACCUAAAACUACCUCCAUGCCUGGGGGAGGAUUCAUCUGGUGGCAUCUAGGCCUUCCGAGUACAGAGGAAAUGAGUGCCAGGUACCAACGCAGCGAUCGGACUGUGUGUUGCUUAGGUGUGGGAAGCAAGGGAGAGGCCCCUGCUGGCCCUGCACGUACGUCACCCUCGGUGAGUGGAGGAGGGCCACCAGGGAGCACGAGAGGCUUUGGCAGAAAGAAGGGGGGGCUGGAGCCAUUGUUGACGUUGGAGGGCUCGCUUUCAAAUCUUUUCCCCACCCUGCAAGAAUGAGACAGAGCUCCUGGCAUGGGAGCUUUUCGAUGAAAAGUUUAUUAGAAGGGUACUUACAGGGGAAAGAGAGGACACAGAUCUUUAACAAGAGGGGUACAAUGCUUAAACAGGUGCUCUGCUCUUAAGAUACAAAAGUUAGAAAAAUCUAAAACACUAUAAAUACAUACAUGCUUUUUACAAAGGUAUUAAAAGGUCAGGCUGGCUGAGAAGGGAAGGUAAUCACAGCCUCCCCGCUCUGUCCCCCCACCCUGAUACACCCCACCAGAGUCCGGGACCGCCUCGACACAGCAGCAGGGAGGGGGCUCUGGCUCUAACCCUCUGCGUCAAGUUCUCACCACCCCAAAGGGCCUGGAGGGGACCCCAGGGAUCGGGAUCGCUGCCUCGCCUGUGGCCUGCCCGGGGGUUGGGGGGGCGGUCGGUUCUGGAGGCUGAGCCGCUGGGCCCCCGACUCUUCCCAGCCACAGUCAGUCCUUGGGAGGAGAGACCUUUCCAACUUGCUUCAAAAAAUUAAAUAGUUCUCGGUCUUGAAUGGUUUUAAGAAAUUAUUACAUAAAUAUAAAAACACCAGAACGCCAGAGUGUACAUUAUACUUCAGCAUAACAAAAAGUUACAGAAUCACUGAGAGCAUUGCUCAAUCCAGUUCACACAAUAGGCAAGUUUACGUGAGAGCUGUGUUUCUGAAAAGUCCUUUCCCCACUGACUGCCACCCCUCCACCAGGGAUGCCUCCUUGUCAUGUGGGAACCAUAUCCUCUUGUGUCUUUUUUUUUUUUUUUUUUUUUUUGCUUUUGCUUUCCCACCCUCUUGAGAAGUAGCCGAUACUCCUCAAAAGGAUGAUCUAGAAGGGAACAUUCAUGACACAAAAA